UAAGAACGGUUUGUGAUUCUGGCGUUGAUGAAUUUCGUUGAGGAACAAACAGAACAUCGUUUUCCACUUUUCUGGACUGGUAUUAAUGUGAUCCGAUCGGAAGAUUUAAUGGAGUUUGUUCUUGUGGAAAAGUCGGAAGGUGUUACCUGAAGUUGACGAAAGAAACCGUACACAAAUUAACCGUCGCAGAUAGCUUUAACUUCAGCCAGUUUAAUAGUUCUUCAAUAUUACUGCGUUGAGACUGUGCAAGUAAGGCGCCUUUUGGCUGUCUGGAACUUGAAAAUUCGAAACUAGCCUAUUGAUCAUGCUUUUAUUUUUCUUUGAAAAAAAAUGUUUUUUCCUUUAAGUCCUGUUUUUAAUCUUCCAGAGCAUUAAACAGUGUACAGUCACAUGCUGAUUUUAAAUGAUGUAAAUGAAAUGUGUAUUUAAUUUUUUCUUUUUUUUUCUUUUUUGUUUUUGCACAGUGGUAAUGAUCUCUUAGUAAAUAAAUGGUUUUAGUAUUUGAAAAUAAAGUUGUGAUCCACGUGUAAAGUGAUGAAAUUUGUGUGUGAGGCUCCAUCAGUUGUCCAGAGAAAGAUGAUGGUAUGAGUGAUGUCUUUGAGUCUCACUGAUACAUUUACAACAGAGAGCUCUGUGUGUUUGCUUAAUUAUCAUUUCUGGUAAGAGACUGAACAAAAAAGUCUGGUGUAUAAUAACUCAGUCCCUUGUAACUGAGCAAGAGCAAAAAGUUAAUGAAAUAAAAUAGUUUUGCUGAAAUAAAUGCUAGCU